rnacentral:rRNA from 1 species
GGUUUAAUUCGAUGAUACGCGAGGAACCUUACCCGGGCUUGAAUUGCAGAGGAAGGAUUUGGGGACAAUGACGCCCUUCGGGGUCUCUGUGAAGGUGCUGCAUGGUUGUCGUCAGCUCGUGCCGUGAGGUGUCGGCUUAAGUGCCAUAACGAGCGCAACCCCUCUCCUUAGUUGCCAUCAGGUGAAGCUGGGCACUCUGGGGACACUGCCACCGUAAGGUGUGA